UACGUAGGGUGCAAGCGUUGUCCGGAAUUAUUGGGCGUAAAGAGCUCGUAGGCGGUCUGUCGCGUCUGCUGUGAAAACUCGGGGCUUAACUCCGGGCCUGCAGUGGGUACGGGCAGACUAGAGUGCGGUAGGGGAGACUGGAAUUCCUGGUGUAGCGGUGAAAUGCGCAGAUAUCAGGAGGAACACCGGUGGCGAAGGCGGUUCUCUGGGCCUUACCUGACGCUGAGGAGCGAAAGCGUGGGGAGCAAACAGG
rnacentral:rRNA from 1 species